UGCCCCCCCCCCCCUCCUUCUUUUGACUUUGUGCCUGUGGCAUUUGCCUGCCCCCGUCCUUGCCACUCCGCCCGGGGCCGGGAGAGCCGGGGACACCGCGGCAGCCGCCCCGCGCGCGCGGGUUUGUCCGCCCGGGGGGACGAGCGCCCCGAGCCAUGGCGCUGCCCCCGGCGGGGUGUGGACAUGACUCAAAGCACCGAUCGCAGCGGGUCCUUCUGGGCGGCGCGUGUGUGAGGCGAAGUGUCUGUGCCGGGGAGGGGGGGGCUUCCACCUCUCUCCCCCUGGACCGCCGGGACGUGUGUGUGCGCGCGUGUGUGUGGGCAGCAGGCUCGUGCCCCACGGCGGGGCGGUUCGCCCUCCCUCCCAGCCCGGCCGCGCCAAGCCCCCCUCCCGCAGCCGGAGACACUCCGCUUUAUAUCUGCAGCAUCAGCGAGAAAGCCCGGCUCGGCGCAGGCUCAGUGCUCACCGCCGCAGUCCCGGCCGGAGGAGGGGGGAGCUCAGCGCCUUCGCAGCGGGUUAAGUGGGAUUAAUACCAAAUCCCCAUUAUGUUUUUUUUUGCCGAGCAACUUGAAUGCAGGAGUGCCGCUGCGGCCCCUCGCUGUCCGGCAGCGGCGCGAGGAGACUCCUGCCCAUGAGGCGCGGCGGGCGGCAGUGCCCGGCCCGCGCGGCACCGCAGUGCCUCGCCCCCCCCCCGGCCUCCCUGCGCCGGGAAACCGCAUGUGGUGCCCGGGGAGGGGAGGGCUGCGCGGCUCCCCCCACCCCCCGCCGUCAAACUUUGAUGGGCUCCUGCUCUGCCACGACCUUUGCGGAUCACAGGCUCCUCGCACCGGGGCUGCAUCUCCCCCCCGUGCCCCCUGCUCGGCCAGAGCCAGCGGAGAAGCGCCGGCUUUGUCCUGCCCGGCGCCCCCCCGCGCGCACCCAAUCUGCCUUGCACAUAGCCUGCCCCCUCCCUCUUCCUCCUCCCUGCUGCAUGUGCGGGUCUUCUCCGCUCGGGAGUCCCGCGUCCUUCACACUGGAUUGGCUCCUCUCGCCGAGCAGAGGUAGCGGCCCCCUCCCUUCUUCCCUCCCCCGGGCGGCCCGGCUGCCGGCGUGGGAAAUGGGGCCGACGUGCGCUGCAUCCUGGAUGAGCAGCGGUGCCUCUGGGCCACGUGCCUCGGCCCCGGAGGAGACGGGUCUACGCUGCUUGUCCUACAUUUGCCCCCCACCCCCGCGAUCCCUGCUGCCAUUUUCUGAGGGGGGAGCUCCCCCCACCCCCGCGCUGUACUACCCCCCUCGGGAGGACGGGCUCCGCGACCCACUCCUGGCAGCUCCGGUCACAGAUCACAGCAGCUCCAGUGUCAGCCGGACCAAGGCCAGCUGUUCCAGGAGCUGGCGAUCUGCCCUGUUGGUUAAGCCUGUUGAGCUUUAAGGAUCCCCCCUUACACACACACACACACACACACACACACACACUAGCAGCCCGCACAUGCAGGCACCCGCAACUCCCAGGCAGGGAAGAAGACGCUCGCUCGUGUCCUGCAAGAGAACAGCUGAUCGCUGCCUGCCGAGCCGGCAUGUGGCGUGGGGGGCUCGUCUGCCUCUGACAUCCCUCUCCCGUGUUAUAGGCGGGGAAUCCUUUUCAAGCCAUCACCCGGCUUCCCCCCUCUCCUCUGCAUCCUUAGGAUUCCCUCCUCGGUGAUUGGCAUCUUUUGUCAUUGGAUCUUUUCGGCUGGAACAGGCAAAGGCACCGCUUAAAUAUGCAAAUGUAAUUAAUUGUUAGCUUAUUUAGAUGUCUCGGCGGAGCCCUCCUCCACUGAACCACCGGCUCUUUCCCCCAGACAAGCUGCUCCCCCCCUGCAGUGUAGGAAUGCCGGGGUCUCAGACUGCAACACAGCCGUGUAACCGGGUCCUGAUCUCCCCACCUCGCAGCCCCACCGCUACUCUUCCCCCUCCAAAAGCUUCCUCCGUGUGCUGGCAGGGAAAUGACAAAGAGCUGAUGGCAAGAGGAGAUGCUGUCCACUGCCUUUCACGGCCUGCAAAUCCCAUUUGCUUUACAGCACCAUGUAACAGACUGAAGAGAUUAAAUUAUUCAUUGCAAUAACAGCCUUUCUGAUGGACAUUAAAACUUAAGAGUUUAAAUAAGGAAACCACAGAUUUCCUUUUAAGCAGGUAAUAACUGUUUGCAUCCGUGGUUAGUUAAUUGAGCACCAGCCAAACAUAAAACUGGCUACCCUGUUUAAAGGAAACUUUUCACCCUGGUGCUUUUUAUAUGUAUAGGAAAGACCUGAUUUUUAUUUAAUACUGCUAGAUAGAACAACAGUAGCCAGCUAUUCAGCUACAGGAAAUGGGUGGGGGGGGCAUAGUUAAGCUACACAUGUUUGAUUAAAACUUUACAUCCCUGGAACAAAAUUUGAACUUGUCUAAUUAAAAGAAGUAAUAAAAAUGGUUCUUUCAUUCAGAUAUUAUUUUACUGCUCUUUCUGAGAUCCAGAAUUUCUGGUGAAAGCCAUGCAAUUUAGAAUGCCAUUUAAAGGAGAAAGUGGGGCAGGUACAUAGUCUAUUUGUGUUUACCAAUUUUUGACAGAUUACAUUAUCUUCUGUACAAAUCACUGUGAUUUAGUUUUAAGAUCUUUUUGUUUCCUAAAUGAAGACAUUUUCUAUGUAGCAGUAUUAUUUUUAAAGGCACUCUGCACAGAGACAGUGACAUCUUCCCAUUGGGUGACAAAGCAAUUUAAUGUAAAUGGACUGCAAGGAUUAUAGGUGGCUUUUCUUUCCAGUUGCAAGGACAUUAGUAAAAGUUCUUUUUAAAAGUAUAUGAAUUUAUACAGUGGGCUAGAUUUAGCCCUUCCAUACAACCAAUUAAAUUCAUUGAAGUUUCAGAGAUGUAAGUCAGGACUAAAUGUGGCUUUUAAUUUUUAAUUAAAUUAUCUUUCCAUUCAAAGUCCAAAAUAAGCUUGAGGGAAAGGGCAUACAGACUGAAAUUAGACUGAAAUAACAAUAACAAAUUAGACUGAAAUAAAGUGCUUAUGUCCAUAUCCACAAAAUUACUUAUGUGUGGUGGUGCUCAACCUCACUAUGCCUAGUUUUAGGAGCCUAAUUUUGGGGGUGGAUUUCCAAAACUGCUCCCUGUAUAGUGAAUGGGAUGAGGGAGGUGAGGAGGGGGUGAGAGAAUUAUAAGCAUGUCCCACCUACAGCCCAGCAACUUGAACCCUGGUUUCUGACAGGUUUGAGAGCAGGGACUGGAGACCAGUCUGUAACAAGUCAACUUUGGCUCUGGAGUGCGUCAGAGGACUCCAGCUCAAGAUCCACCUGUUUAGACAAGUCCUCAGAUGCCAAAGAAUGAGUGUCGCAAAAGCAAGCACCCACGAGCGACUUCCAAAGAGGGUGUUUGAAACCCUUGUCCUGGACUCAUCCGUAUGAGUUUGGUAUUCAAAAUCUAUAUCUUCCUUCUGGACUUAGGUUCCUAAGGCAUCCCUUUAGGCUAAGAGAAGUGCCUAACUUUAUUCUGUUACCAUGUAGCUGGAGAAGAUAGGGAUGGUACAGCAGCCCAAUAGUUUCACUUGCUUGUUCAGGAAAUGCCUUAGUCAUCAACUCUGGGGUGUAGCACUUUCCACUCGAAUGUCAAACUGUGUCAUUGUUCAGCAAAGAAUCCAUAGUACUAGAAAGUAAGCAAGGCAGAGACUAUGGACAGAUAUAUUUUUAACUAUUUUACUAAGAGGAGGGUGAACUGAGGCUGGGGGAAUGUAUCAGCUGUUCCAGUGUAACUGUUACAUCUGCCUACUCCUCUAGGGAUAUAAAUUAGCUAAAUCACUGUAAUCUUAGCCUUGAAAGAUGAAGGAUUAAAGUUUCAAUAGUUCUGCUACACUAUCAGCAUGUCAAAAUCAUUUGAUAUGAAUACCAUUGUUACAUUUCUCUAUACCCAGAGCAUGAUUUAAGGGCAAGAUGGACAAGCAUAACCCAAUGAUGAGAACAAAUCUCUGAGGAGGGGAUUCCUGUGUUCUGGUCUUCACUCUAGAGACUGCUUCUGCAUUUUGCAUCAAGGAGUCAUUAGAUAAAAUAAAUAAUCAAGGUUGGUAAAAAAAACAACCCCAAAACUUUAAGGCUGCCCCCUCUUAGAGGAGUGUAUUCAUCAUGCAUACCCUUUUCCACAACUGGUUUUGCCUCUGACCUCUUGAAUCUUACGUUCUUUGCUUCACAGUCAACAAAGCCCACCACCCAGAGGGUGCAUCUACAUAUGCACUAAACUGCACAGUUGUUACUGGCGUUACUGCACAGUCUCGAUGUUGCACAGGUUUUUUUCCACAAAGCUGCUGAGUAGCAAUGAGCUACUGUGCAGUAGUGUUGGUAUCACAGUUCAUGCCCGCCAAUGCUACAGUGCAAUGAUCUAUAGUGACAAAGCUUGUUGCUAUGGCAACAUAGCAUCUCAUGUAGAUGUGCCCAGUGUGUCCUGUAGUGUGGUGCUCACAGUACUCCCAUGGAAAAUGAGGGUUUGAACUCCCUUAGGUUUAGGAGGGCCUAGAAAACCACUUAGACCUCUUAAUUUCCGGGUAGUUGUUUUAACCACUAUCCUAUAUAUAAAGGUGAAUAGCAUCGUCAUCACCUUCUCUUGUGCUCAUGUCUUAAUGGGAAAAGGUGAGCCAUGUCCUGCCAAAUUUUUGAAUGAAUGUGUCUGUGGCUCCUGUGAUAUGUGAUGAAGUUAGUGCAGGCAGUUUAUGUUAUGAGUACUCUGAGAAUACUACUGGAUUGAGCCUUUCAGGGUCAUAAGGUUCAAGGCUGCCUAGUGUGUUAAUCCUAAAAAGCCAUAUGCAUGAAGUAAGAGAUGCUGAGUGCCUCAGUCCAGCCUAGAUGGCAGUGCCUGUUUGCAUAUCAAUGGAAGAGUUUUAGGCACUUAAGUAUCAUUAUAAGUGGAAAAGGUGAUGUCCACAGCUAUUCAGGUGACUACACAGUUAGAAAGGUGUUAUUAUGUAUUGUGGUCAGAAUAUUUACUCCUGUUGAAAGAUUUUAUCAUUUUGAAACCUGGAUCCUUCUACAUGUUUGGGAGAUGUUUCCCUUGCAAUCAGUGAACCAUUGGAAAAUAAGGGAAGUUUACAGUCAUAGCAAACUGGAGUUCAGAGGAAAUCUGUUCACAAAAGAAAAACCCUACACCAGGGAAUCUGAGGGGCAUGUGGAAUAAUAACUGUUUUACUAUUACUGCAAUAAAGAUCUUUUAAACUACU